UACGUAGGGGGCUAGCGUUGUCCGGAUUUAUUGGGCGUAAAGAGCGUGUAGGCGGCCAGGUAGGUCUGGUGUGAAAACUCGAGGCUUAACCUCGAGAUGUCAUCGGAAACCAUCUGGCUAGAGUCCGGAAGAGGAGAAUGGAAUUCCCGGUGUAGCGGUGAAAUGCGUAGAUAUCGUAAGGAAGACCAGUGGCGAAGGCGGGUCUCUGGACAGUUCCUGACGCUGAGGCACGAAGGUCAGGGGAGCAAACGGG
rnacentral:rRNA from 1 species